rnacentral:rRNA from 1 species
CCUACGGGAGGCUGCAGUCGAGAAUCAUUCACAAUGGGGGAAACCCUGAUGGUGCGACGCCGCGUGGGGGAAUGAAGGUCUUCGGAUUGUAAACCCCUGUCAUGUGGGAGCAAAUUAAAAAGAUAGUACCACAAGAGGAAGAGACGGCUAACUCUGUGCCAGCAGCCGCGGUAAUACAGAGGUCUCAAGCGUUGUUCGGAAUCACUGGGCGUAAGGCGUGCGUAGGCUGUUUCGUAAGUCGUGUGUGAAAGGCGCGGGCUCAACCCGCGGACGGCACAUGAUACUGCGAGACUAGAGUAAUGGAGGGGGAACCGGAAGUCUCGGUGUAGCAGUGAAAUGCGUAGAUAUCGAGAGGAACACUCGUGGCGAAGGCGGGUUCCUGGACAUUAACUGACGCUGAGGCACGAAGGCCAGGGGAGCGAAAGGGAUUAGAUACCCGGGUAGUC